UGCCCUAGUAACGGCGAGUGAAGCGGCAACAGCUCAAAUUUGAAAUCUGGCGCAAGCCCGAGUUGUAAUUUGUAGAGGAUGCUUCUGGGUAGCGACCGAUCUAAGUUCCUUGGAACAGGACGUCAUAGAGGGUGAGAAUCCCGUAUGUGACCGGCCCGCACCCUUUACGUAGCUCCUUCGACGAGUCGAGUUGUUUGGGAAUGCAGCUCUAAAUGGGAGGUAAAUUUCUUCUAAAGCUAAAUACCGGCCAGAGACCGAUAGCGCACAAGUAGAGUGAUCGAAAGAUGAAAAGUACUUUGGAAAGAGAGUUAAAAAGCACGUGAAAUUGUUGAAAGGGAAGCGCCUGCAACCAGACUUCGCGGCAGUGUUCCGCCGGUCUUCUGACCGGUUCAUUCUCUGUCGCGAGGCCAUCAUCGUCUGGGCCCGCCGGAUAAGACCUUAGGAAUGUAGCUCACCUUCGGGGGAGUGUUAUAGCCUAGGGUGAUGCGGCAAGGCUCGGGCGAGGUCCGCGCUUCGGCAAGGAUGAUGGCGUAAUGGUUGUCGGGGGCCCGUCUUUGAAACACGGACCAAGGGAGUCUAACAUCUUUUCCAAGGUUUCGGGGGUCCAAACCCCCUACCCCGUAAUGAAAGGUUAACCGGAGGGGGGAAACCGCAAGGGGGCACCAUUGGACCGGAUCCCGGAGUUCCCCCGGAAGGAUUUUAAUUAAAAACAUAACCUUUUGGGGACCCCCAAAAAAAGGGGGAAACUUUUCCCCCAAAAAGGGGGGAACCCCCAAGGAAAAACUUUUGGGGGGGGGCCCCCCAAGGGUUUUUUUAAGGGCCAAAUUGGGUCGCCCAAA
rnacentral:rRNA from 1 species